AAUCAAGCGCGAGAAGGGCGUUUGGUGGAUGCCUUGGCAGUAAGAGGCGAUGAAGGACGUGAUACUCUGCGAUAAGUCAUGGGGAGCCGAGAAUAGGCUUUGAUCCAUGAAUUUCCGAAUGGGGCAACCCACUUGACAGUUUGAUAUAAUAGCCCUCGGGCGACUUAUAUCUCGCUGAACCAAGUACUUAUUACCUGAACACAUAGGGUUUUAAGAGCAAACCCGGGGAACUGAAACAUCUAAGUACCCGGAGGAAAGGACAUCAAUAGAGACUCCCCUAGUAGCGGCGAGCGAACGGGGACCAGCCGAGCCUUGAGAGUGACUAGAACACGUUGGGAAGCGUGGCCAUAGCGGGUGAUAGCCCCGUAUAGGAAGCUCGAUAGGACGUAUUAAGUAGGGCGGGACACGUGAAAUCCUGUCUGAAGAUCGGGGGACCACCCCCGAAGGCUAAGUACUCCUUACUGACCGAUAGCGAACCAGUACCGUGAGGGAAAGGUGAAAAGCACCCCGACGAGGGGAGUGAAACAGUACCUGAAACCGAACGCCUACAAUCAGUCGGAG
rnacentral:rRNA from 1 species